rnacentral:rRNA from 1 species
AUUGAACGCUAGCGGCAGGCCUAACACAUGCAAGUCGAGCGGAUGAGAGGAGCUUGCUCCCUGAUUUAGCGGCGGACGGGUGAGUAAUGCCUAGGAAUCUGCCUGGUAGUGGGGGAUAACGUUCCGAAAGGAACGCUAAUACCGCAUACGUCCUACGGGAGAAAGCAGGGGACCUUCGGGCCUUGCGCUAUCAGAUGAGCCUAGGUCGGAUUAGCUAGUUGGUGAGGUAAUGGCUCACCAAGGCGACGAUCCGUAACUGGUCUGAGAGGAUGAUCAGUCACACUGGAACUGAGACACGGUCCAGACUCCUACGGGAGGCAGCAGUGGGGAAUAUUGGACAAUGGGCGAAAGCCUGAUCCAGCCAUGCCGCGUGUGUGAAGAAGGUCUUCGGAUUGUAAAGCACUUUAAGUUGGGAGGAAGGGCAUUAACCUAAUACGUUAGUGUUUUGACGUUACCGACAGAAUAAGCACCGGCUAACUUCGUGCCAGCAGCCGCAGUAACAC